rnacentral:rRNA from 1 species
UACAGAGGGUGCAAGCGUUAAUCGGAAUUACUGGGCGUAAAGCGUGCGUAGACGGUUAUGUAAGUCAGAUGUGAAAGCCCAGGGCUCAACCUUGGAAUUGCAUUUGAGACUGCAUAGCUAGGGUGCGGAAGAGGGAAGCGGAAUUUCCGGUGUAGCGGUGAAAUGCGUAGAUAUCGGGAGGAACACCUGUGGCGAAAGCGGCUCACUGGACCACAACUGACGCUGAGGCGCGAAAGCUAGGGGAGCAAACAGG